rnacentral:tRNA from 1 species
GUGUCGUGGCCGAGGCGAGGAAGGCGUUGCUGUUCACGUCGGCGAGCUCGCCGUUCGGGUCGACCAGGACGCC